rnacentral:rRNA from 2 species
UGGCGGCACUAGCGCGGUGGUCCCACCUGACCCCAUGCCGAACUCAGAAGUGAAACGCCGUAGCGCCGAUGGUAGUGUGGGGUCUCCCCAUGUGAG